rnacentral:rRNA from 1 species
UGGAGAGUUUGAUCCUGGCUCAGGACGAACGCUGGCGGCGUGCUUAACACAUGCAAGUCGAGCGGAAAGGCCCCUUCGGGGGUACUCGAGCGGCGAACGGGU